rnacentral:rRNA from 1 species
GAUGAACGCUGGCGGCGUGCCUAAUACAUGCAAGUCGAGCGAACAGACGAGGAGCUUGCUCCUCUGAUGUUAGCGGCGGACGGGUGAGUAACACGUGGAUAACCUACCUAUAAGACUGGGAUAACUUCGGGAAACCGGAGCUAAUACCGGAUAACAUGUUGAACCGCAUGGUUCAACAGUGAAAGACGGUCUUGCUGUCACUUAUAGAUGGAUCCGCGCCGCAUUAGCUAGUUGGUAAGGUAACGGCUUACCAAGGCAACGAUGCGUAGCCGACCUGAGAGGGUGAUCGGACACACUGGAACUGAGACACGGUCCAGACUCCUACGGGAGGCAGCAGUAGGGAAUCUUCCGCAAUGGGCGAAAGCCUGACGGAGCAACGCCGCGUGAGUGAAGAAGGUCUUCGGAUCGUAAAACUCUGUUAGUAGGGAAGAACAAAUGUGUAAGUAACUAUGAACGUCUUGACGGUACCUAAUCAGAAAGCCACGGCUAACUACGUG